UCAGCAUCUGCCGACAGGUCUACCUAAUCUUCCAAACUCUGUGUAAAUCCUGGAUCCACCAUUUACCAGCUGUGUAACCCUGGACAACAAUUCCAUCUUUCUGACCUCAGUGUCUUUCUCUGCAAAACAGCGGUAAGAAUGAUCCUACUUCAAUAGAGUUGCUGUGAGGAUUCACUGAGAUCAUGUGUACCAAGCUCCUACAAUAGUACUGAACCCACAGCCAUGGAUCAAGACCAUUAACUUAUAAUCAGUGAUAGCCAAGAGGAUGGGAAGAGAAUAUUAAGCCUGGUGCUCUGCAAAUUAAUACUUGCAGCUUAAAAAUACGCUGGACAUGCGACAAUGGUGCUGAGUACUUUGGGGGAAGAUCACAACAGUCCUGGUAGCAGUGUCACAGCAAAAUAUUUCAGAGGUACCAGAUGAGCUAGCUCCAAGGCAAAUGAGGCAAUAUUAUGUUUAACUGUUUGUUCGGAAACUUCUUUUAUUAAAAAAGAUUUUAAAUAUUAAUGCUAUUUUCAAUACAGGUGUGAUAACACUCAAUAAAGCAUGGUGUACUUGAUAUAAAUUUCGGAAUGUAACAGUCCAUCUAGUUCCUGGUCCCCUCCAGUCUCCACCACAUAGCCUAGUAGCAAAACGUACACACCCGUUUAAAAAUGAAGAAGCUUUUGGGCAUUGGGUGAGCACAGUGGGGUGGGGCAAGGAAAGUGCUCGUUCCUGAAUUAUUCAUGCUUUUGGCUUUGACUUCAGUUAGUAACAUCAAUUCUAAGAGAACUGAGACAAACUCUUCUAUGUUCCGCAAAGGAAUGGAGAAAAAAGCCUGCCAUUCGCAAGCAGCUGUGGGCAAAACCAGCGCAGAGUACAGGGGUCGGGAAAUGAGGGAUUAAAAAAAAAAGUCGGAGUAAAGUGCACAGUUACUGUCAAAAAUAUAUUAUUUUGAUCCUAAGAAAAUUAAAAGAUUUUAUCUAAUGGACUAGAUUGCUGACCUUUUAAUACAUUUGGUUUUCAUUGAACAUACAAUCACCAUCGGACAUAAAAAGACUAGUUUGCUUAAAAAAAAAAAUCCUUGGAGUUAUCUACAGGAAUCUUGUGGACGCAAUUCAAGGAUAACAUUCUGCAGCUCUUUGGAUAUUGAAUGAUGUCCUCGGAUCAGUCCACAAAAGAAACAGGGACCUGUUAAUGCACUGAUUCAAGUGGGCGUUUC
rnacentral:lncRNA from 1 species